AGGAUUAGAUACCNUGGUAGUCCACGCCCUAAACGAUGCGAACUAGGUGUUGGGGAAGGAGACUUCUUUAGUACCGUAGCUAACGCGUGAAGUUCGCCGCCUGGGGAGUACGGUCGCAAGAUUAAAACUCAAAGGAAUUGACGGGGACCCGCACAAGCGGUGGAUGAUGUGGAUUAAUUCGAUGCAACGCGAAAAACCUUACCUACCCUUGACAUGUCCGGAACCCUGCUGAGAGGUGGGGGUGCCCGAAAGGGAACCGGAACACAGGUGCUGCAUGGCUGUCGUCAGCUCGUGUCGUGAGAUGUUGGGUUAAGUCCCGCAACGAGCGCAACCCUUGUCACUAAUUGCCAUCAUUUGGUUGGGCACUUCAGUGAGACUGCCGGUGACAAACCGGAGGAAGGUGGGGAUGACGUCAAGUCCUCAUGGCCCUUAUGGGUAGGGCUUCACACGUCAUACAAUGGUCGGUACAGAGGGUUGCCAAAGCGCGAGCUGGAGCCAAUCCCAGAAAGCCGAUCGUAGUCCGGAUCGGAGUCUGCAACUCGACUCCGUGAAGUCGGAAUCGCUAGUAAUCGCGGAUCAGCAAUGCCGCGGUGAAUACGUUCCCGGGCCUUGUACACACCGCCCGUCACACCAUGGGAGUUGGCUGCACCAGAAGCAGGUAGCUUAACCGCAAGGGGGGCGCUUGCCACGGUGUGGUCAAUGACUGGGGUGAAGUCGUAACAAGGUAGCCGUAUCGGAAGGUGCGGCU
rnacentral:rRNA from 1 species